GAUGAACGCUGGCGGCGUGCCUAAUACAUGCAAGUCGAGCGAACAGACGAGGAGCUUGCUCCUCUGACGUUAGCGGCGGACGGGUGAGUAACACGUGGAUAACCUACCUAUAAGACUGGGAUAACUUCGGGAAACCGGAGCUAAUACCGGAUAAUAUAUUGAACCGCAUGGUUCAAUAGUGAAAGUCGGUUUUGCUGUCACUUAUAGAUGGAUCCGCGCCGCAUUAGCUAGUUGGUAAGGUAACGGCUUACCAAGGCAACGAUGCGUAGCCGACCUGAGAGGGUGGUCGGCCACACUGGAACUGAGACACGGUCCAGACUCCUACGGUAGGCAGCAGUAGGGAAUCUUCCGCAAUGGGCGAAAGCCUGACGGAGCAACGCCGCGUGAGUGAUGAAGGUGUUCGGAUCGGAAAACUCUGUUAUUAGGGAAGAACAAAUGUGUAAGUAACUAUGCACGUCUUGACGGUACCUAAUCAGAAAGCCACGGCUAACUACGUG
rnacentral:rRNA from 1 species